CCUACGGGGGGCUGCAGUGAGGAAUAUUGGUCAAUGGCCGCAGGGCUGAACCAGCCAAGUCGCGUGAGGGAUGACGGUCCUAUGGAUUGUAAACCUCUUUUGUCAGGGAGCAAAGGGCGCCACGUGUGGCGCUUUGCGAGUACCUGAAGAAAAAGCAUCGGCUAACUCCGUGCCAGCAGCCGCGGUAAUACGGAGGAUGCGAGCGUUAUCCGGAUUUAUUGGGUUUAAAGGGUGCGCAGGCGGAAUGUCAAGUCAGCGGUAAAAUUUCGGGGCUCAACCCCGUCGUGCCGUUGAAACUGGCGUUCUUGAGUGAGCGUGAAGUAUGCGGAAUGCGUGGUGUAGCGGUGAAAUGCAUAGAUAUCACGCAGAACUCCGAUUGCGAAGGCAGCAUACCGGCGCUCAACUGACGCUCAUGCACGAAAGCGUGGGUAUCGAACAGGAUUAGAUACCCUGGUAGUC
rnacentral:rRNA from 1 species